UUGAUAUUUUUUCUUCCCAAUUUUCAUGUUAUUGCUCUCUUCAAAUCUUUGACAUUCAGCCUAACUUUGAUGAAUAUAGAAGCGUAUGUUUGGGGAGGGUGAGUGCUAGCAUCUUUAACAAUGGAGAGAGGUAUUUUGGUGAGUAGCUCAGAGGGAGUUUAUACAACAAUCUCUGGGUUAAUCAGUUGUUAAGAAGUUUGAAACCGGAGAAGGAGGAGAGCAAGAUCAAACCCGAGGUUGCUUUCUCUGUUAUCGCUAUACAGAAUGGCAAAGAGACUCUGGACUGAGGACUUUGUUGCGGCAUUGGAUGAGUAAGGAAAAUCAAGAUGUAUUUAUUUCAUUGUUUCAGUCUUUUUUUUGUGCAAAUUGGUCGGAAAAACUCAAUAUUUGUUUGUUUCCCUAUCUUUUGAAUUGAUAAACUUGAGCCUUGAAAUAUAAUGCAACUUAGACUUUCUUCUUUCCUUACGACUGUUUUUAUGUGUCUU